AAGCCUACGGGGGGCAGCAGUCGAGAAUCAUUCACAAUGGGGGAAACCCUGAUGGUGCGACGCCGCGUGGGGGAAUGAAGGUCUUCGGAUUGUAAACCCCUGUCAUGUGGGAGCAAGGGCCGGGACGAGUCCCGGUCCGGAGAGUACCCGGAGAAAAAGCAUCGGCUAACUCCGUGCCAGCAGCCGCGGUAAUACGGAGGAUGCGAGCGUUAUCCGGAUUUAUUGGGUUUAAAGGGUGCGUAGGCGGGCUUUUAAGUCAGCGGUAAAAAUUAGGGGCUCAACCCCGUCCGGCCGUUGAAACUGGG
rnacentral:rRNA from 1 species